AGACCAAUUCAGACUGGAACUGAGACACAACUGUUUUGAUGUUAUGGAGGGUGAUGAUGAUUAGCCAUAGCAGCACACUGCUAGGGAAGCAGCAGAUCCUCCACCUCGUGGCCUACGUUUUCUAAAAUGAGUAGCCAGCCUAGGACACUUUGACAUCUUUUUUUUUUUUUUUGGAAGAGCACAUUUCUUUUAAGGUGUGUCAAGCCAGGUAUCAUUGACGUACCCAAAAUCUUCAAGCGGACAUGUGCAACACUGACUAAGAAGACCAUCGUGGCUACAACAUCACUUCCAGGUGGGAACAGAGCAAAAGGGAGUGACUGAUUUUUGAGCUGCUGACAUAACCUAAAUUACCUGGAAUAACUUCUGCUCAAAGAGCCACUGAGUCCACUGGAGGAGUCUGCACUGCUUUGACUUUACUGGUACAGUUAAAAACAGUGGGUUUUGUGUGUAAAAAGUUCCUACCUGGAUGUCCCCUCAUCUUUUACAAUUGAAAAUGUAUCUCUUCAUGUUGUCUAUCCCCUCUGUACACCCAUUGCCCUAUCCCAGUGCUGCAUGUUCUGUUUUUGUGGCUAUGUUUUGUCCUGUUGUGCACUUCCCUGUAUAACAGUGUAGGGCGUCUCGCAGGGUACAGGGAGCUGGUGGUUGUGACUAUAUUAAGGAUGGUUUGCUGUAACAGCAAGCAAAGAAUAGAACUCUUAUAACUGCAUUGGGCGCUGGGGCUCAUCACAUCUCCCAUGCGUCUGUUUUAAAGAGGUGAAAUGGAAACCAUGCACCUUUUCUGUUGAAGUACUAGACUCCUAUAUGUGUGGAAAUUACAUGGGUUUAGAAAGUUACCUGGUUAUUAAAAAAGAACGCUCUAGCAAAGCAAAGAGGUUUAAAGCAGGGAGCAAAGGUGAUCAGACUGAAGGGCUGAAAUAGUUCUGACAAAAAUGCUAUUGCAACUAAGCCAAAGAUUUAAAAUACUUGCAGCUGGUAACAAAAUGCCUGGAAUUUGAGCUCUGUGGCAUGUGAUGUCUAUGUUUAACAGAGACACAAGUGUCAUGCUAAAUGCUAGAAAGUGCAGGAUACAGCUUGUCCAAGUGGAUGCUGAAAGAUUUCCUUUGUUUUCUCGGCACAUAAAUAACACAGGUUUUUGUGUUUGCUUUUCCUGUAGUGUCAGUACAAAUGGAGUUCAGUUUCCCUCUGCUGGGUCGCAGAACUGCUUCUUAAAAGGAGACUGAAAUGAGAAGUUGUCAUUGUUAUCUUGUGUAAAUGGACUCAGAUUCAAAUUCAAAUUGGGGCCCUGCAGGGCAAUGUUUUCCAGAAAGGUGCGACUGGGUCUAGGGCAUAUUAUUGAGAGAGAUGGACUCUUCAUUUAAAACAAGAGAAAAUGGGGUGCGGGGGAAUGGAGAACAAAUAGCAUUGGGGUUGUUGCCUUAGUCUUCUUCAAAUGGCUCAGGGCAGGGUUUUUUAGGAAACCCUUUAGGGACUAUAUAAAGAAUUCAUGUCAUGUUUUAUAGUUGUAAUUUCCUGUAUGAAAACAUCCCAGCCUGCAUUAGGCUACAGAAACCAUAACGCUCUCUUCAUGCCAUAACAGCAGCUUAAUCUACAAUCUUGAAUCCCACCAUCUGACCUGCUAGAAGGCACCGUGGGUCCAUUUUUUGCCUAGCUUCCAGCCACCCAAUCGUAAGGAGAUAUCUAAUCUGGUAUCCUCUUUUCCUGAAAAUAGCCAAGGGCCAGUGCUUCAGGGGAAAACAAAACCAUCCAUCAAUGAAUUGAUGCCAUAAGUGGUCUCAGUUUCACCCCUUGGCUCGCCUUACCUGGCAGUUGGUAUGCACCCUGAAACUCUAUCCCUAGCUCUGGGUAGAUGCGAUAUCUUUUAUUAGACCAACUGAGUAGUUAGGGGAAAGUUCGUAGCAAUCUUUUGGGAGCAGUUGCUCUGCUUCGGGCACAGGGCUGAGACUCCAAGGAACGAGAGAAGCUAAAAGUGUGGAGGGAUGGCAGUGAAAAUGCAAACAGGUCGAGAUAAACAAGCAGGGAAGGGAGGGGGAAGAGAGCAGGGGAGAGAAAAAGUCAGGGGAAACGAGAGAGAUCAAAUACAAGGUGAGAAAGAGGCAGCCCAUAAAAGAGGAAUAGUUGGAGAUCAGGAA